rnacentral:rRNA from 1 species
GGAUUUAUUGGGCGUAAAGCGAGCGCAGGCGGUUAGAUAANUCUGAAGUUAAAGGCUGUGGCUUAACCAUAGUAUGCUUUGGAAACUGUUUAACUUGAGUGCAGAAGGGGAGAGUGGAAUUCCAUGUGUAGCGGUGAAAUGCGUAGAUAUAUGGAGGAACACCGGUGGCGAAAGCGGCUCUCUGGUCUGUAACUGACGCUGAGGCUCGAAAGCGUGGGGAGCAGACAGGAUUAGAUACCCUGGUAGUCCACGCCGUAAACGAUGAGUGCUAGGUGUUAGGCCCUUUCCGGGGCCUAGUGCCGCAGCUAACGCAUUAAGCACUCCGCCUGGGGAGUACGACCGCAAGGUUGAAACUCAAAGGAAUUGACGGGGGCCCGCACAAGCGGUGGAGCAUGUGGUUUAAUUCGAAGCAACGCGAAGAACCUUACCAGGUCUUGACAUCCCUCUGACCGCUCUAGAGAUAGAGUUUUCCUUCGGGACAGAGGUGACAGGUGGUGCAUGGUUGUCGUCAGCUCGUGUCGUGAGAUGUUGGGUUAAGUCCCGCAACGAGCGCAACCCCUAUUGUUAGUUGCCAUCAUUCAGUUGGGCACUCUAGCGAGACUGCCGGUAAUAAACCGGAGGAAGGUGGGGAUGACGUCAAAUCAUCAUGCCCCUUAUGACCUGGGCUACACACGUGCUACAAUGGCUGGUACAACGAGUCGCAAGCCGGUGACGGCAAGCUAAUCUCUGAAAGCCAGUCUCAGUUCGGAUUGUAGGCUGCAACUCGCCUACAUGAAGUCGGAAUCGCUAGUAAUCGCGGAUCAGCACGCCGCGGUGAAUACGUUCCCGGGCCUUGUACACACC